UACGAAGGGGGCUAGCGUUGUUCGGAUUUACUGGGCGUAAAGCGCGCGUAGGCGGCUUGGUCAGUUAGGGGUGAAAUCCUGGAGCUCAACUCCAGAACUGCCUUUAAUACUGCCAAUCUCGAGUCCGGAAGAGGUAAGUGGAACUCCUAGUGUAGAGGUGGAAUUCGUAGAUAUUAGGAAGAACACCAGUGGCGAAGGCGGCUUACUGGGCCGGUACUGACGCUGAGGUGCGAAAGCGUGGGGAGCAAACAGG
rnacentral:rRNA from 1 species